rnacentral:lncRNA from 1 species
CAUUAUUGGUUACUAGGGGAGACUAGGGAUUACAAGCCAGUAAUUAAUAAUAUGCUCUUUUCACCAAGGGAUUGGGUUAAGGGUAGGCUAGAAUGUUUGCAUGGCAAUUGGAUAAACAAGUGAAGUAAAUAAGAAGAGUAGAUAUGUGGGAGUGGAUAAGAUGAAAUUGUAAACCCCAACAACAUCAUUCAUCCAUAGUUUUUCCUCAACCAUUGAUUCACUGCAUUUGCAUGUUUAAUUCUGUUUUUUCAUUUAACAAUCAAAACUUUAUUCUUUUCUCAAGUCUUAUG